rnacentral:miRNA from 1 species
AGAGUUCAGGGUGGAUGUGGCC